UACGGAGGGUGCAAGCGUUAUCCGGAUUCACUGGGUUUAAAGGGUGCGUAGGUGGGUUGGUAAGUAAGUGGUGAAAUCUCCGGGCUUAACCCGGAAACUGCCAUUGAUACUAUCAGUCUUGAAUAUUGUGGAGGUCAGCGGAAUAUGUCAUGUAGCGGUGAAAUGCUUAGAUAUGACAUAGAACACCAAUUGCGAAGGCAGCUGGCUACGCAUAUAUUGACACUGAGGCACGAAAGCGUGGGGAUCAAACAGG
rnacentral:rRNA from 1 species